rnacentral:ncRNA from 1 species
AAACUCUGGAGAAUCCCUUUUUAGGGUGCCGAAGGUGCAAGACCAUGUGGUCGAAUCUCUCAGGCUAAAGGACAGAGCGGG